rnacentral:rRNA from 1 species
AUUGAACGCUGGCGGAAUGCUUUACACAUGCAAGUCGAGCGGCAGCGCGGGGCAACCUGGCGGCGAGCGGCGAACGGGUGAGUAACACAUCGGAACGUGCCCAGACGUGGGGGAUAGCCCGGCGAAAGCCGGAUUAAUACCGCAUACGAUCUAAGGAUGAAAGCGGGGGACUCGCAAGGGCCUCGCGCGUUUGGAGCGGCCGAUGGCAGAUUAGGUAGUUGGUGGGGUAAAGGCUUACCAAGCCUGCGAUCUGUAGCUGGUCUGAGAGGAUGACCAGCCACACUGGGACUGAGACACGGCCCAGACUCCUACGGGAGGCAGCAGUGGGGAAUCUUGGACAAUGGGCGCAAGCCUGAUCCAGCCAUGCCGCGUGAGUGACGAAGGUCUUCGGAUUGUAAAGCUCUUUUGCCAGGGACGAUAAUGACGGUACCUGGAGAAUAAGCCCCGGCUAACUUCGUG